CAGUAGCCGCGGUAAUACAGAGGGUGCGAGCGUUGUCCGGAAUUAUUGGGCGUAAAGCGCGCGCAGGUGGUUCCUUAAGUCUGAUGUGAAAGCCCACGGCUCAACCGUGGAGGGUCAUUGGAAACUGGGGGACUUGAGUGCAGAAGAGGAAAGUGGAAUUCCAAGUGUAGCGGUGAAAUGCGUAGAUAUUUGGAGGAACACCAGUGGCGAAGGCGACUUUCUGGUCUGUAACUGACACUGAGGCGCGAAAGCGUGGGGAGCAAACAGGAUUAGAUACCCCUGUAGUCCCUGUCUCUUAUAA
rnacentral:rRNA from 1 species